rnacentral:lncRNA from 1 species
GUGACACAGCUACCAGCCAAAGAGCACCAAGGUUGGCUGGAGCCCCCAGCAGCGGGACAGAGGCGCAGAACAUAUGACCACAGGAGCACCUGGAAAGGACCAAACCCAGCAACAGUUGAAUUUGGACUUUUAGCCUCCAGAACCAUGAGAAAGUAAGACUCUGCUGGACUGUGGCACGCACCCGGAACACCCAUCCAGCCGCCCUGAAGGAUGCAGGCCUCUCCGCCUUUGGUUCUCCUGUGCCUCUUCAGCCUUCUUCAGCUUGCUGCCUUUGCUGGGGAAGUGCCCACUCAGGACAGCUGAGGAGACGGAGCCACGGAGGUUGACAUAGGAGGUGAUGGAACAGCCAGUUUUCCUGCUGAGCCCAUCCGUAUAGACAGCCGGCAUGCAUUGAUGUGUCUCUCUCCCAGCUUCAACCCCUGUCUGCAGAGCUGGAGUCUCCGACUGUUCCCGCAUGUCCCUUCUCUGUUGUUACCUGCAGUCCAGACAAAAAUGGCAUAGUAAAAUAAAAGUUGAGAGAAU